rnacentral:lncRNA from 1 species
UAGGAACAAAUGCCUUUACGAGUAGAACGACGAAUGCUGUUGGACAGUUUUUGAUGCAUACCACAACUUGAAACAGUGUAUUCUUGACAGCACAAUUAAUGUUUUUCACCGGUAUAUUGUACCUCAAAAAGUAGGAAAAAAGUGGGUUUUUUAAAUAAUUUACAGGAUAUGGCUUUAAUAGAGAGCAAUUUCAUGAAUACUGGGAAGAUGCUUUUUCUGUGACAUAUUCACUUGUUUCAGAAUAUUUCUCCCUAUAACAUAGGAAAGUUUUAUUCUGUAAGUGCCUGUGAUCUGUGAUUUAGAUCAGUUUCUCAUCGCUCUAAGAAAGUUAGUGAUGAUGAAGGCAGAUUUGACCUUGUU